UGGCUGGAUAGCUUAAAUGGCAAAGCGCCUCGGUUCUUCCCUGUGUAAAGCGGGGAGGACAACCUCAAAUAGGAUUACGAAGUGAUUUUAUUUGAAGUUGAGAUUGUGGGUUCGAAUCCCACCCAGCCAACCA
rnacentral:tRNA from 1 species